rnacentral:misc_RNA from 1 species
UAUGGAAACAUACUUGACCAGGAAACUCAGCUUGUACCAUACCGGCGAAAUAUGCAAGAUCUCCUUUGUGACUCAGGAAUGAAUCCCUAUCCAGAACCUUAUCAGAGUAUGUACCAGAAGAGACGGUUAGGAGCUCUGAAUAUGGAGUGGAAACCACCUUCUAUAAAACUUGCAGCUGGGCCUGACUUCAGCUUAGACCCAGAUUACCAAAUGUUGCCCUUGGCAGACUUGGAUGUAUUGGUUGAGCCGCUGCCUGAGUUUGUAGAUGCCGUGGAUUGGGAACCAGGAAAUGAAGUGCAUAGUGAUGAUACUGAUUCAGAGUACAAUGUUACUGAAGAGUAUUCUACUGGGGGUGAGCAAGGAAGUUUAAAUUCUAAUUCAUCUGUUGAUCCUGAGUGCAGUGCAGAGGACAGUGAGGUUGAGGGUAGGGAUGGCUCUCAUAGAUCUAAAAGGAAAAAACAGAAAGCCGAAAUUGAGAUAAUGACUUCUUCAGGGAGACGUGUUAAAAGGAGGAAUUUGGAUGAUUGUGAUGGCAAUACAUUCAGAAGUAACGAAACUAGGAAAUCAAGGAUUGGACGGAAAGCUUCAAAGAGGAAGUCUUCCACAUUGAAGGCUUUGAGACCUCAAAGAGCUGCUGCCCGCAAUGCUCUCACCUUGUUCUCAAAAAUUACUGGAACGGAUACAGAUGGAGAAGAUGAAGAUAGUUCAGAAGGUGAUUCAUCAGAAAGUGAAUCCACACUGCAACACUCAGACAUCCAGAGUGAUGAAUCAGAGAGAUCUUUGCGAAAUGAGCGAAACAGGCAUUUGAAAGGGAAAGAAGUUUCAUUAGAAGAGCCUGAAGAAGUUGUUAAAUCUCAUGAACUUCCUGAAUCACAUAUGAAUGCUGGAAACAGGAGAAGAUUGAUCCUUAAACUGCCAGUUCGAGAUCCAACCAAGAUUGUUAUGCCAGAUAGUAGAACACCUAAUGGCAAUCAGGUUGAUUUAGUUGGUUCAUCAUCCCACAAAGCUCCACAAGAAGCCACUGAGGUAGAUAGGGUUCAUAUAAGAUCAGUAGAUUUCGGAUACACUUCUAGUUAUGCAGACUGCAGCACAGUGAAAGGAAGAGGAAAAGGGCAAACAGAAAGCUCUCAUUUAGAUCUAUCAGAAGGAUACAAAAAUGGGAAUAUCAAAUGGGGAGGUGUCAAGGCUCGUACAUCUAAGCGUCAGCGAUUUGGAGAAGCCAUGUCAUCAGCUACCCAUGCCUCAUUUAGUGUAGGUCUUAAUGAUAAACAAGAGGAGAAUAAUGUGAAUGGAUACUUAAAACCUCAGAAUAUUUCUAGCGCAACAUCCCCUUCUCUGGAAGUUCAAGAUUAUGCGGAUAAGAUGCGUGAAGUGGCAGCAAUGAGUGGAGUAAAUAUUGGGACUGAUACCUCUGAGGUUGUGAAUAAUCUGGCCAAUGGUAAAAAGCACCUCAGCUUUGAUGGGUGCAUUGAUUCUGAUGAAUUGCCAAAAUUGGCUCACAUAGCUAAUGGGAAUGAUAAACCUCCUGAAUUCAAAGAGAGUAAUACAAUUAUCUCAACAAAGUUAAGGAUAAUGUCGAGGAAGAUUUCAAGAGAUUCUUCAGAGAAUCAGGGAAAUGACGGCUGUGAUUUAUUACCUGAUAGCCAUGCAGAGAUGAAACAGAAUCCAGUUUCAGAAGUGUAUGAACGUGAGAUGACCAGUAGAAUUACUCCAGUUAAUAGUUACAAUGAAUUUCAAAAAGCAGAUCCUCUGAUUGAUGAAAUUUCCGUGCCGACAUUGGAUGACUCAAUAGGUUCCCAUUCGCAUCCAAAAAAGAUGUAUAAUGUUGUUUAUAGAAGGUCAAAGUUAAGUAGAGAUAGAGCUAAUUCAGAAAGUGAUAUUGGCACGAGAGAGAGCAUUUCACAUGCUAGUACAAAUGAACAGUAUGCCAGAGGUGACUUAAAUGAAGAUACUAAUGAAGGAGCUCAAACAAAGCAUAUCAUGGGCUCAAAGGUGACAGAUGAUAUGAUGAACUGUAGUUUUAUGUUGGGACAGGAACAUGAAUCAGAGGAUAGGUAUAGAAAUGCCCAUAAUGGUUCCAUUAGCAGACAUCAACUUCCUGGUGAAGAAUGGGGAUCAAGCUCAAGAAUGACAGUUGGAUUAAGAUCUACCAGAAAUAGGAGAACCAGUUAUUAUUUCCGUGAUGCUAGUCCAGUAGAUAGAAGGAAAUCAAAUCAAUCUGCCAAAAGAGGAUCAUGGUUAAUGUUGUCAAUGCAUGAGGAGGGCUCUCAUUAUAUUCCCCAGCUAGCAGAUGAAGUAGUAUAUCUAAGACAGGGGCAUCAAGAGUACCUAGACUACAUUAAAUCAAAAGAUCCAGGCCCUUGGAAGUUGGUCAAGGGACAUAUAAGGGCAGUGGAAUUCUGUAAAGUUGAAGGCCUUGAGUAUUCCACGGUACCAGGAUCAGGAGAUAGUUGCUGCAAAAUGACACUUAAAUUUGUAGAUCCUACAUCUAAUGUAUUCCAGCAAUCAUUUCAAUUAACUCUGCCUGAAGUGGCAGGGUUCCCAGAUUUUCUUGUUGAAAGAACUCGGUUUGAUGCUGCUAUGCAAAGAAAUUGGACAUGCAGGGAUAAGUGUAAAGUAUGGUGGAAAAAUGAUGGUGAAGAAGAUGGCAGUUGGUGGGCUGGCCGGAUUCUGUCUGUAAAGCCAAAAUCUUCUGAGUUUCCAGACAGUCCAUGGGAGAGGUACACUAUUCAAUACAGGAGUGACCCCAGAGAAACACAUCAACACAGUCCUUGGGAGCUUUUUGAAGAUGAUACUGAAUGGGAGCAGCCUCAUAUUGAUGAUGAGAUUAAAGACAAGCUAAUUUCUGCCUUGGCCAAAUUAGAGCAGUCUGGCAAAAAAAUACAGGUUCAGGAUUAUUAUGGUGUUGAGAAAUUAAUACAAGUGUCGCAGAAGAGCAAUUUUACAAACAGGUAAACUCUUCUCUUUUUGGCCUUUUCUCGCUUUUCUUCAGUGGCCAUUUUUUUGUCCCUUGCAUGAACUAUAUAAUGGGGAUUGGCUUUCUCAAUUCUCAGUCCUCCUUACCCUUAUUCUAAUGUUACUUGAAUUACUGUCCUAGUGGAAAUUCCAAAAUUGUUGGUGUGUUACAAUCCCUGGUUUGUGAUCUAGAUGUAGGGCGACUGAUUUGAAUAUCAAAGAAAGGGUUCUAGGUGUGUACUCGUGUUUUGCUUGAGAGGAUUUAAGUUGUGUUUCAACUCCCAACGUUGCUCCAAACCCACUCAAGGACAAAGAAAUGUGUUUAUCCAAUUGCAAAGAAUGGCACUGCUCCGUACCCGCAAUUCUUCUCUCCUUACAACCCAAAGCUGCAACUGAGCCAAUAAAGCUGCAUCCAAAAAAACCUAUGUGUGCUUAAUUAACACAACCAUGGAUUGGCAUGUGACGUGUCCCUCAACUUGCAUGAUCUGUAGCAUGUGUAAUCCUAAAAUACAUGAAUAAAAAUUUUUGGUUCUCCAUUUGAAUUUUGAAUAAAAUGGAAGAGAGUUCUUGUUUGGGAGAGAAAACAAUCUCAAUUAACGCUUGAGUUUUGAGGAAAUUCAACAUACUGAUUUCACUGAGCAAUCUUGCUUAAAUACAACUGAAUAUACAAAAUAACACUAAAUAACCAUCCACUAAUUUGAAACUAAUUCCAAGUUUAUAGCCCACAGAGAGAUGAAGGAAAGAAAGCAUAAACUGAAAAUGACUAUCCUCAUCCACAAUUCCAUUAAGCUAAGUUAUUCCUCCUACAUUGAUUCUUGACUAUAGCAGUGUAUCCCUUUGAGUACAUUUUGAAUUAUGAUAAAUCUUUUUGGGUUCAUUUGGAGUCCUAUUGAUCCUAGGACAGUAAAAUGGGCAUUUAAAUGCUAAAUCAAUAGCGGUUUCUGGCAUCGGUAUGAUCUGUCUUAACUAGUCAAAUGCAUACACCUCUAUUAUUUGAACAUAACGGAAAUAUAGAGCCUU